rnacentral:rRNA from 1 species
CCCUUAGAUGUCCGGGGCCGCACGCGCGCUACAAUGGAUGAAUCAACGCGUCAUCCUGGCCCGAAAGGGUUGGGGAACCGCUGAACCUCAUCCGUGGUUGGGAUUGGGGUUUGUAAUUAUUCCCCAUGAACUAGGAAUUCCCAGUAAGCGCGAGUCAUAAGCUCGCGUUGAUUACGUCCCUGCCCUUUGUACACACCGCCCGUCGCUACUACCGAUUGGAUGGUUUAGUGAGAUCCUCGGAUUGGUCACGGCACGGUGGCAACACUGCGUCGGUGUACCGAGAAGACGAUCAAACUUGAUCAUCUAGAGGAAGUAAAAGUCGUAACA